GUCGGGCGUGGUGGCGCAUGCCUGUAAUCCCAGCUACUCGGGAGGCUGAGGCAGGAGAAUCGCCUCAGAACCUGGGAGGCAGAGGUUGUGGUGAGUUGAGAUUGCGCCAUUGCACUCCAGCCUGGGCAAUGUAAGAGUGAAAUUCCCUCUCAAAAAACUUACUGGGCAUGUAGCCUUUUUUUUUUUUUGAGAUGGAGUUUCGCUCUUAUUGCCCAGGCUGGAGUGCAAUGAUGUGAUCUUGGCUCACCACAACCUCCGCCUCCCAGGUUUAAGCAAUUCUCCUGCCU
rnacentral:lncRNA from 1 species